rnacentral:rRNA from 1 species
UACGUAGGGGGCAAGCGUUGUCCGGAUUUAUUGGGCGUAAAGAGCGUGUAGGCGGUCUGGUAGGUCCGUUGUGAAAACUCGAGGCUCAACCUCGAGACGCCGAUGGAAACCAUCAGACUAGAGUCCGGAAGAGGAGAGUGGAAUUCCUGGUGUAGCGGUGAAAUGCGCAGAUAUCAGGAAGAACACCCGUGGCUAAGGCGGCUCUCUAGUACGGUACUGACGCUGAGACGCGGAAGCGUGGGGAGCGAACAGG